rnacentral:rRNA from 1 species
UACGAAGGGAGCUAGCGUUGUUCGGAAUUACUGGGCGUAAAGCGCACGUAGUCGGCUUUGCAAGUCGGGUGUGAAAUCCCCGGGCUCAACCUGGGAACUGCAUCCGAGACUGCAUUGCUAGAGUAUGGGAGAGGGAAGCGGAAUUUCUGGUGUAGCAGUGAAAUGCGUAGAUAUCAGAAGGAACAUCAGUGGCGAAGGCGGCUUCCUGGACCAAUACUGACGAUCAGGUGCGAAAGCGUGGGGAGCGAACAGG